UACGAAGGGGGCUAGCGUUGUUCUGAAUUACUGGGCGUAAAGCGCACGUAGGCGGACUUGUCAGUCAGAGGUGAAAUCCCGAAGCUUAACUUCGGAACUGCCUUUGAUACUGCAAGUCUUGAGGAUGAGAGAGGUAAGUGGAACUGCGAGUGUAGAGGUGAAAUUCGUAGAUAUUCGCAAGAACACCAGUGGCGAAGGCGGCUUACUGGCUCAUUUCUGACGCUGAGGUGCGAAAGCGUGGGGAGCAAACAGG
rnacentral:rRNA from 1 species